UGGGGAAUUUUGGACAAUGGGGGCAACCCUGAUCCAGCCAUUCCGCGUGAGUGAAGAAGGCCUUCGGGUUGUAAAGCUCUUUCAGCAGGAACGAAACGGCUCUCUCUAACAUAGGGAGUUAAUGACGGUACCUGAAGAAGAAGCACCGGCUAACUACGUGCCAGCAGCCGCGGUAAUACGUAGGGUGCGAGCGUUAAUCGGAAUUACUGGGCGUAAAGCGUGCGCAGGCGGCGCCAUAAGACAGAUGUGA
rnacentral:rRNA from 1 species